AUUGAACGCUGGCGGCAUGCCUUACACAUGCAAGUCGAACGGCAGCACGGGGGCAACCCUGGUGGCGAGUGGCGAACGGGUGAGUAAUGCAUCGGAACGUGCCCAGUAGUGGGGGAUAACCAGUCGAAAGACUGGCUAAUACCGCAUACGACCCAAGGGUGAAAGCGGGGGACCGUAAGGCCUCGCGCUAUUGGAGCGGCCGAUGUCUGAUUAGCUAGUUGGCGGGGUAAGAGCCCACCAAGGCGACGAUCAGUAGCUGGUCUGAGAGGACGACCAGCCACACUGGGACUGAGACACGGCCCAGACUCCUACGGGAGGCAGCAGUGGGGAAUUUUGGACAAUGGGCGCAAGCCUGAUCCAGCCAUGCCGCGUGCGGGAAGAAGGCCUUCGGGUUGUAAACCGCUUUUGGCAGGAACGAAACGGCGCAGGCCAAUACCUUGCGCUAAUGACGGUACCUGCAGAAUAAGCACCGGCUAACUACGUGCCAGCAGCCGCGGUAAGAC
rnacentral:rRNA from 1 species